ACGGAAGGCAGCAGUGGGGAAUAUUGCACAAUGGGGGAAACCCUGAUGCAGCGACGCCGCGUGAGUGAAGAAGUAUUUCGGUAUGUAAAGCUCUAUCAGCAGGAAAGAAAAUGACGGUACCUGACUAAGAAGCCCCGGCUAACUACGUGCCAGCAGCCGCGGUAAUACGUAGGGGGCAAGCGUUAUCCGGAUUUACUGGGUGUAAAGGGAGCGUAGACGGCUUUGCAAGUCUGAAGUGAGAGCCCGGGGCUCAACCCCGGAACUGCUUUGGAAACUGUAGAGCUAGAGUGCAGGAGAGGUAAGUGGAAUUCCUAGUGUAGCGGUGAAAUGCGUAGAUAUUAGGAGGAACACCAGUGGCGAAGGCGGCUUACUGGACUGUAACUGACGUUGAGGCUCGAAGGCGUGGGGAGCAAACAGGAUUAGAUACCCUGGUA
rnacentral:rRNA from 1 species